GAUGAAGAACGUAGCGAAAUGCGAUAAGUAGUGUGAAUUGCAGAAUUCAGUGAAUCAUCGAAUCUUUGAACGCACAUUGCGCCCUUUGGUAUUCCAAAGGGCAUGCCUGUUCGAGCGUCAUUUGUACCCUCAAGCUUUGCUUGGUGUUGGGCGUCUUGUCUCUAGCUUUGCAGGAGACUCGCCUUAAAGUAAUUGGCAGCCGGCCUACUGGUUUCGGAGCGCAGCACAAGUCGCACUCUCUAUCAGCAAAGGUCUAGCAUCCAUUAAGCCUUUUUUUCAACUUUUGACCUCGGAUCAGGUAGGGAUACCCGCUGAACUUAAGCAUAUCAAUAAGCGGAGGA
rnacentral:misc_RNA from 1 species